UACGUAGGUGGCAAGCGUUGUCCGGAUUUACUGGGCGUAAAGAGCGCGCAGGCGGUCGUUCAAGUCGAGUGUGAAAGCCCCCGGCUCAACUGGGGAGGGUCACUCGAUACUGAUCGACUCGAAGGGCAGGAGAGGGAAGUGGAAUUCCCGGUGUAGUGGUGAAAUGCGUAGAUAUCAGGAGGAACACCGGUGGUGGUAGACGCUUCUGGACCGACACUGACGUGAGACACGAAAGACCAGGGGAGCAAACGGG
rnacentral:rRNA from 1 species